rnacentral:rRNA from 1 species
UACGUAGGGGGCAAGCGUUGUCCGGCUUUAUUGGGCGUAAAGAGCGUGUAGGCGGCUGGGUAGGUCCGUUGUGAAAACUCGAGGCUCAACCUCGAGACGCCGAUGGAAACUCUCCAGCUAGAGUCCGGAAGAGGAGAGUGGAAUUCCUGGUGUAGCGGUGAAAUGCGCAGAUAUCAGGAAGAACACCCGUGGCUAAGGCGGCUCUCUAGUACGGUACUGACGCUGAGACGCGAAAGCGUGGGGAGCGAACAGG